rnacentral:lncRNA from 1 species
CAACAUCGAGGAACUAGGAUGAAUGAUCAUCAGAAGAGGAAAUACCAGGAUUGGAGGUGUCAUCACUGUGGUAGGCUUGGACAUAUAAAAGCCUUCUGCUACUGGAUUCAUGGUUUCCCUAACAGAGCCUCACAUGUCAGACCUAAGCAUAAAACACGUAAGCGAUGUGUUCCCAUUAAGAAGCAACAAUGGUAUGCUAGGAUAGCACACACUGCCCUAAGGGCUUCUUCCAGAGAAGACUGGUACUUUGACAGUGGAUGCUCAAG